GAUGAAGAACGUAGCGAAAUGCGAUAAGUAGUGUGAAUUGCAGAAUUCAGUGAAUCAUCGAAUCUUUGAACGCACAUUGCGCCCCUUGGUAUUCCAUGGGGCAUGCCUGUUCGAGCGUCAUUUGUACCUUCAAGCUCUGCUUGGUGUUGGGUGAUUGUCUAUCUUUAUAGACUCGCCUUAAAGUCAUUGGCAGCCGGCAUAUUGGCCUGGGAGCGCAGCACAAGUCGCGCUUCUUGUCAUGAAUGUUGGCGUCCAGUAAGUCUACAUAUUUUGCUCUUGACCUCGGAUCAGGUAGGGAUACCCGCUGAACUUAAGCAUAUCAAUAAGCGGAGGA
rnacentral:misc_RNA from 1 species